ensembl:lncRNA
CCACCCACCACAUCCCAUCGACCCCACACUGUGCCCCAUUGACCCCACCCUUAACCCCAUAUCCCCCAUUGCCCCCAUAACCCCAACUGUCCCCCCCUUCCUCCCCCAUCCGGCCCCACAGACCCCAUUGCUGCCCCCCCUUUGGUUCUUACUCACCUGAGCACCCCCUAUAGGUGGGGGUCCGACCCCAUAAGCGCCCCCCGGGAUCCCAUAAGACACAGUGGGGGCCGGGGGGGGGCCGGGCCAGGAGAGAGCGGCGGAUGGGGACGGGAUGGGGGCGCCUGCGGGGAGAGGGGGUGGGGGAUAUGGGAUAUAGGAUAGGGGAUAUAGGAUAUGGGAUAUGGGGUGUGGGAUAUGGGAUGUGGGAUAUGGGAUGUGGGGGUGGGAUGUGGGAGGUGGGAUAUGGGAUAUAGGAUAUGGGGGUGGGAUGUGGGAGGUGGGAUAUGGGAUAUAGGAUAGGGGAUAUAGGAUAUGGGGGUGGGAUGUGGGAGGAGGGGUAUAGGAUAUGGGAUGUGGGAUAUGGGGGGUGGGGUUGGGGUGGGGGAUAUGGGGUGUGGGAUAUGGGAUGUGGGAUAUGGGGGUGUGGGGUCGGGGUGGGGGAUAUGGGGUGUGGGGUGGGGGAUAUGGGGUGUGGGAUAUGGGAGGUGGGAUACAGGAUAUAGGAUAUGGGAUAUAGGAUAUGGGGGUGGGAUGUGGGAGGAGGGGUAUAGGAUAUGGGAUGUGGGAUAUGGGGGGUGGGGUUGGGGUGGGGGAUAUGGGGUGUGGGAUAUGGGGUGUGGGAUAUGGGGGUGUGGGGUUGGGGUGGGGGAUAUGGGGUGUGGGGUGGGGGAUAUAGGAUGUGGGAUAUAGGAUAUGGGAUAUGGGGUGUGGGAUAUGGGGGGGUGGGGUUGGGGUGGGGGAUAUGGGAUGUGGGGUGGGGGAUAUGGGGUGUGGGAUAUGGGGGUGGGAUAUGGGAUGUAGGAUAAAGGAUAUGGGGGUGGGAGGUGGGAUAUGGGAUAUAGGAUAUGGGGGUGAGAUGUGGGAGGUGGGAUAUGGGAUAUAGGAUAUGGGGUGUGGGAUAUGGGGGUGUGGGGUUGGGGUGGGGGAUAUGGGGUGGGGGAUAUGGGGUGGAGGAUAUGGGAUAUGGGGUGUGGGAUAUGGGGGUGUGGGGUUGGGGUGGGGGAUAUGGGAAGUGGGAUAUAGGAUAUGGGAUAUGGGGUGUGGGAUAUGGGGUCUAUAGGAUAUAGGGGCUAUAGGAUAUAGGAUCCAUAGGAUAUAGGUCCAUAAGAUAUAGGGGCUAUAGGAUAUAGGGUCCAUAGGAUAUAGGGGCUAUGGGGGCUAUAGGGACCAUAGGGUCUCUAGAGGAUAUAGGGGCUAUAGGACAUGGGCUAUAGGAUAUAGGGUGCAUAGGAUAUAGGGGCUAUAGGAUAUAGGAGCUAUAGGGUCUAUAGGAAAUAGGGUCUGUAGAAAAUAAGGUCUAUAGGAUAUAGGGGUAUAGGAUAUAGGGGCCAUAGGAUAUAGGGUCUAUAGGGUCCAUAGAAUAUAGGGUCUAUAGCAUAUAGGGUCCAUAGGAUAUAGGGGCUAUAGGGUCUAUAGGAAAUAGGGUCUGUAGGAAAUAAGGUCUAUAGGAUAUAGGGGCUAUAGAAUAUAGGAUCUAUAGGAUAUAGGGGCUAUAGGAUAUAGGGGUAUAGGAUAUAGGGGACAUCGGAUAUAAGGGCUAUAGGGUCGAUAGGAAAUCGGGUCUAUAGGAUGUAUAGGGGCUAUAGGAUAUAGGCUGUAUAGGAUAUAGGGGCUAUAGGAUAUAGGGGCUACAGGAUAUAGGGGUAUAGGAUAUAGGGGCCAUAGGAUAUAGGAUCUAUAGGGUCCAUAGAAUAUAGGGUCUAUAGCAUAUAGGGUCCAUAGGAUAUAGGGGCUAUAGGGUCUAUAGGAAAUAGGGUCUAUAGGAUAUAGGGCUAUAGGAUAUAGGGCUAUAGGAUAUAGGGCUAUAGGAUAUAGGGUCCAUAGGAUAUAGGGUCUAUAGGGUCUAUAGGAAAUAGGGUCUGUAGGAAAUAAGGUCUAUAGGAUAUAGGGGCUAUAGGAUAUAGGAUCUAUAGGAUAGAGGGCCUAUAGGAUAUAGGAUCUAUAGGAUAUAGAGGCUACAGGAUAUAGGGGUAUAGGAUAUAGGGUCCAUAGGAUAUAGGGGCUAUAGGAUAUAGGGUCCAUAGGAUAUAGGGUCCAUAGGCUAUAGGGGCUAUAGGGUGUUUGGGGUCUAUAGGGCGCAUGGGGUCUCUGGGUGUGCCCACUCACCGCCGCUGUCCCCGUGGCUCCGCCCCCGCGCCCCCCGCCCGCCCCGCAUCCCCUCCAGGAGUUCCUUCACCGUGCGGGGGGGGGGCGGCGGCGCGCGCCCACCUGCGUGGGGAUGGGGGGGGGGGGGGGGGAGGGGGGACACGCGUGGGUGGGGGAACCCUCCGCUGUGACGUCACCGGGAUCCCCCCGCCUCCGCGCUGUGACGUCACGGGGAUGCCCUGCGGGGAUUCCCCCCCUCCCUCCUCCCACGGCCGCACGUGGGGAAACCCCCGCGGGGGGACCUUAAAGGGACAGAGCCCUCCUUAAAGUCUCUCUUAAAGGGCCAGCGGCCCAUUCCCCCCCCCUCCCUUAAAGGGCCAGCGCCCCAUUCCCAUCUCUCUUCAAGGGCCGGCGUCCCUUUCCCACCUCUCUUAAAGGGACAGCAUCCCCUCCCAGUUCCCUUAAAGGGCCAGCUCCGAAUUGCCAAGUCUCUUAAAGGACCAGCGUCCCAUUUCCAGCUCCAUCUCUCUUAAAGGGCCAGCACCCCGCUCAAGCCGCUCUUAAAGAGCCGGCCGCCCAUUCCCAACUCUCUUAAAGGGCCAGCGACCUCCUCCCUCCGCCCUUAAAGGGCCAGUACCCCCCCCCCAGCUCUCUUAAAGGGCCCGCAUUCCCCUUCCUGCUCUCUUAAAGGGCCACAGUCCCACUCCCCGCUCUCUUAAAGGGCCCGCGUACCUCUGUGGGGCCGCAUGUCUCCGUCGCGAGUUGCAAAUGGGGCCGGUGUGGCCCCGGGGGCCGUUAUAGCGGGGGGGAGGUGACACCGCAGUGACGGCGACAUUGGGGGGGGCGGGGUUAGGGGGUGCGGGGACAGCCGGGUUCCCCCGGGUGACGUCACGGGUGGGCCGCCCCCGCGUGAUGUCAGCGGAGCCUUUUGGAGAAGCGUGUCCCCCCUCCACGUGCCACCGCGGGGCGCGGGCCCUUUAAGGGCUUUCCCACGUCCCCCCCACCAGAGGGGCGCGGGCCCUUUAAGGGGGGGUGGGGAGGGGAGGGGAUCCCAGUGUGCAAUGGGGGGGAAUUGGGGGUCCUGGGGGGAUUCUGGGGGGCCGUGGAGGCACUCAGGGAUCUUUGGGGACAUCGGGGGUUCCCCCCCCCAGACCCCCAUUUCCCCCCCAAGACCCCCAUUCCCCCCCCCCGAGACCCCCAAUUCCCCCCCC